UACGUAGGGUGCAAGCGUUAAUCGGAAUUACUGGGCGUAAAGCGUGCGCAGGCGGUUAUGCAAGACAGAUGUGAAAUCCCCGGGCUCAACCUGGGAACUGCAUUUGUGACUGCACAGCUGGAGUGCGGCAGAGGGGGAUGGAAUUCCGCGUGUAGCAGUGAAAUGCGUAGAUAUGCGGAGGAACACCGAUGGCGAAGGCAAUCCCCUGGGCCUGCACUGACGCUCAUGCACGAAAGCGUGGGGAGCAAACAGG
rnacentral:rRNA from 1 species